AGGUGUCGUGAAACGAGGUGUCGCAGCAAAGCUGUCGCGAGCAAGGAAGGGGGGGGGGGAGGAGCCUCCUCCUCGCCGGGAUCGUCGCCGAAGCCGGAAAUUCAAGGGGGGGUCGUCGCCUAAGCCGGAAAUUCAAGGGGAUGAGCCGGAAAUCAAGGGGGCUGCCCGCGUUUGAUCAGCGCCCACGAAUGAACGAGAAAACCGCCGUUGAGCAAGUCAGCACCAGUGGGACGUCACAUCACGAGGACCUGCUUUUCCGAAGUGAAUGGUUUUGCCGCUGCUUCCAGCGCCGCCCGGAAAUCCCGGAACGGAACCUCGGAACACGCCGGGGCGGUCAGCUUUCCCGAGCGAGCCAGGCAGCACAGCUCGGCCAGCAUUCGCUUGUACGCCGAGCCAUCUGACCACACGCAUAAGCAUCAUCACCACCCGCCUCUUGAUAUUGCAACAUACCAUUCAAUUGCAGCGUGUGCUAAAAACAGCGUUGGCAGAUAUUUGGUUUUUUUGGAGGGGGGGUGCUCUAAUUGUCUUCAUGGAAAUAACAGGAUUUACUAAUAAAACAAAUGUAUCAGAGCACAGCA